UACGGAGGAUCCGAGCGUUAUCCGGAUUUAUUUGGUUUAAAGGGUGCGCAGGUUGUUUGAUAAGUCAGUGGUGAAAGUCUGUCGCUUAACGGUAGGAUUGCCAUUGAUACUGUUGGACUUGAAUAUGGAUGAGGUAGGCGGAAUGUGUAGUGUAGCGGUGAAAUGCAUAGAUAUUACACAGAACACCGAUUGCGAAGGCAGCUUACUAAUCCAUCAUUGACGCUGAGGCACGAAAGCGUGGGGAUCAAACAGGA
rnacentral:rRNA from 1 species